rnacentral:rRNA from 1 species
CCUACGGGGGGCAGCAGUGAGGAAUAUUGGUCAAUGGACGAGAGUCUGAACCAGCCAAGUAGCGUGAAGGAUGACUGUACAAUGGGUUGUAAACUUCUUUUAUCAAGGAAUAAAACGAGGCACGUGUCCCCUUUUGCAUGUACUUUAUGAAUAAGCAUCGGCUAACUCCGUGCCAGCAGCCGCGGUAAUACGGAGGAUCCGAGCGUUAUCCGGAUUUAUUGGGUUUAAGGGGAGCGUAGAUGGUUUGUUAAGUCAGUGGUGAAAGUUUGCGGCUCAACCGGAAAAUUGCAAUUGAUCUGGGCAGUCUUGAGUACAGUUUAGGUAGGCGGAAUGCGGGGUGUAGCGGUGAAAUGCUUAGAUAUCACGAAGAACCCCGAUUGCGAAGGCAGCUUACUAAACUGUGACUGACAUUGAUGCUCGAAAGUGUGGGUAUCAAACAGGAUUAGAUACCCUAGUAGUC